GACGAACGCUGGCGGCGCGCUUAACACAUGCAAGUCGAACGGAAAGGCCUGCUUUCCCUUGUGGAUUGCGGGUACUCGAGUGGCGAACGGGUGAGUAACACGUGAGUGAUCUGCCCCCAACUUGGGUAUAAGCCUGGGAAACUGGGUCUAAUUCCCGAUAGGACUGCAGGGUGGUGCCUGUGGUGGAAAACGAUUUUCUAGUGGUUGGGGAUGAGCUCGCGGCCUAUCAGCUUGUUGGUGGGGUAAUGGCCUACCAAGGCGGCGACGGGUAGCCGGCCUGGGAGGGUGGACGGCCACAUUGGGACUGAGAUGCGGCCCAGACUCCUACGGGAGGCAGCAGUGGGGAAUAUUGCACAAUGGGCGGAAGCCUGAUGCAGCGACGCCGCGUGGGGGAUGACGGCCUUCGGGUUGUAAACUCCUUUCGACCGCGAGGAAGCCACCUGGUUGGAAGGGUGGUGACGGUAGUGGUAGAAGAAGCACCGGCUAACUACGUG
rnacentral:rRNA from 1 species